rnacentral:rRNA from 1 species
UACGUAGGGGGCGAGCGUUAUCCGGAAUUACUGGGCGUAAAGCGCACGCAGGCGGUUCGCCAAGUUUGGAGUGACAGUUGUCGGCUCAACCGACAAAGGACUUCAAAAACUGGUGAACUUGAGGACGGGAGAGGAACAUGGAACUCCAGGUGUAGUAGUGAAAUGCGUAGAUAUCUGGAAGAACACCAAUGGCGAAGGCAAUGUUCUGGCUCGUUUCUGACGCUCAGGUGCGAAAGCCAGGGGAGCGAACGGG